rnacentral:rRNA from 1 species
AUGAACGCUGGCGGCGUGCUUAACACAUGCAAGUCGAACGAAGCACCUUGAUUCGAUUCUUCGGAUGAAGAUCUUGGUGACUGAGUGGCGGACGGGUGAGUAACGCGUGGGUAACCUGCCUCAUACAGGGGGAUAACAGUUAGAAAUGACUGCUAAUACCGCAUAAGACCACAGCACCGCAUGGUGCAGGGGUAAAAACUCCGGUGGUAUGAGAUGGACCCGCGUCUGAUUAGGUAGUUGGUGGGGUAACGGCCUACCAAGCCGACGAUCAGUAGCCGACCUGAGAGGGUGACCGGCCACAUUGGGACUGAGACACGGCCCAAACUCCUACGGGAGGCAGCAGUGGGGAAUAUUGCACAAUGGGGGAAACCCUGAUGCAGCGACGCCGCGUGAGCGAUGAAGUAUUUCGGUAUGUAAAGCUCUAUCAGCAGGGAAGAAAAUGACGGUACCUGACUAAGAAGCACCGGCUAAAUACGUG